rnacentral:tRNA from 1 species
GUCAUAGUGGCAGAUUUAUGCAAUAGCUUUAAAGACUAGCCAAGGCCCAGCCCUUUGACA